UACGUAGGGGGCAAGCGUUGUCCGGAAUUAUUGGGCGUAAAGCGCGCGCAGGCGGUUCUUUUUGUCGGGUGGUUAAGCUCGGGGCUCACCCCCGAGCCCCACUGGAAACGGGAGAACUUGAGUGCAGAAGAGGAGAGUGGAAUUCCACGUGUAGCGGUGAAAUGCGUAGAUAUGUGGAGGAACACCAGUGGCGAAGGCGACUCUCUGGUCUGUAACUGACGCUGAGGCGCGAAAGCGUGGGGAGCAAACAGG
rnacentral:rRNA from 1 species